GUGGGGAAUAUUGGACAAUGGGCGAAAGCCUGAUCCAGCCAUGCCGCGUGUGUGAAGAAGGUCUUCGGAUUGUAAAGCACUUUAAGUUGGGAGGAAGGGCAGUAAGUUAAUACCUUGCUGUUUUGACGUUACCGACAGAAUAAGCACCGGCUAACUUCGUGCCAGCAGCCGCGGUAAUACGAAGGGUGCAAGCGUUAAUCGGAAUUACUGGGCGUAAAGCGCGCGUAGGUGGUUUUGUAAGUUGGAGGUGAAAUCCACGGGCUCAACCUGGGAACUGACUCCAAAACUGCAUGACUAGAGUACGGUAGAGGGUAGUGGAAUUUCCUGUGUAGCGGUGAAAUGCGUAGAUAUAGGAAGGAACACCAGUGGCGAAGGCGACUACCUGGACUGAUACUGACACUGAGGUGCGAAAGCGUGGGGAGCAAACAGGAUUAGAAACCCUGGUAGUCC
rnacentral:rRNA from 1 species